CCCUUUCUCCCUGCUCGCACGCGACCUCCUCGUCUCCCUCGCUCUUGCCUCUGCUCCGCCGCCCCGCGCUGCCACAUCCAACCCGCCGACGUCGGCCUCGCCGCAGAAACGGCCAAAUCUGCCCGCGCCGCCGAACGGCGGGUGAGGAAGAGGCCCAAAUCUGCCGGCGCCCCCACCCCUUCUCUCCUUCUCUCACCAUCUCCCCACCACACGCCGCCAUGGAUCUCGGCCGCCGCCUCCACCAUCAAUGGAACUCUGACCCAUGACCAACAGCUCGGCAAGUGUCACUGUCGAUGAAUGACCGGCGGGUACUUCUACGGCGCAAUGUCGAGACUAAACAUGUGGUGGUGCUGUUUUCUUCAAUCAUGGAGUUCAAUCUGUCCCAGAUUUGGGUCCUCGCCGGCUCAUUUGAAAAUGAUCUCAACACCAUCGAAGCCAGGUGGCAGGUACUAUACAACUGGCAAAGUAUAUUCUGAAGAAUUAGUUUUUAUCCAUCUUAUAUACAUUUUGUUAUCAUGCGACACAUGUAAGUCUAGCGGUAUGAUUGAUUCCUGUUGUGAACUAUCUUCUAGCUUCUUGUUAUAGUCGAUUUCUGUGUUUGGUGAUGAACUGCGGAUGGUUUGCUUUAACGAGUCCCCUUUUUCUUAUAUCACGAAAUGUAAAUUUCAUUAUUAUCUGAAUGCAUUAAUAGUGAGUUUGAUUGUUACUAAA